ensembl:lncRNA
CUCCAUUAUAUGAAGAGUCUGUGGCUCCAACAGUAGUUGACGAACUGAUGUGAUAAAGAGUACACCACCGCUGAAACUAAACUCUCUGGUUGCAACUAUAAAUACACACAGUUAUGUGUUUAUAUCUAUGCUAAUUGUGUGAAAUUGCUAGAGCUGUUCAACAGAUUUUCACUUUGAAAAACUGAGGAGAUCAGGAGCUCCUGCAUAUGCAGUUGCAUGUGCAGAUGGGUUGAUAGAGAUGUCGGUGAUUGCGCUGCGCUGAAACAUCCCCUUCACAUAGUCUGCAGUAUGUUGCUGAGUAGGACAAGAAGACCGGACUUCAAGAUCUUGAAGCUGCAGCUGUCUGUCUGAGAAAGCUAAGGAGCAAGCCAACACUGACAUGGCCAGGAACAGGAAGGUUCAGCAUGAGCUUGAGGAAGCUCAGGAGCGCGCUGACAUCGCAGAGUUGCAGGUCAACAAGCUGAGAGCAAAGAGCCGUGAAAUUGUCAGGGUCAAGGAGACAUGAAUGAACCGCAGUCUGGAUGAAAUCACACAAUAUGAGCUUUUUUGUCUGAUGUACCAACUACGUGACAAGAAAUAAACACACAAGCAGUUGAAUAUCUUUAUAUGUCGUAUGCUUUAAAUAAUGCUUAACUCAAAAGAAGUAGACAUGAAGCUAGUUAUUCAGAGACAUUACGGUCAUCAAAGUUAAACAGUUAUUUUUUUUAAAUAUUUGUAGGAGUGCUCGAGAGCUCCAAACGCAUUUCUCAAAAUGCGUCAGGAUUUAAAGGUGUACUUACACUUGGUGCACCUCUGCACAAGUUAAACAAUACAUAUAGAACCUAAUAACAGUGAACUGAAAUGCUCUUUUAUGUGUGUGGUGGUCUAAAUGUGGGCUGCACAGCUUCAUCACUCGCAAUAACCUGGUUGUCAACUGUCACCUGUUAUCACAUAGAAGUUCUUUAGGCUAUGAUAACUGUAAAUCUGUUCCCUUUGGUGAUAAUGUUACUGACAGUGUAGUGACCUUACAGUUUUUCUAUGUGCUCCAGCACAUAUGUUGCACCAUGUCACGACGUUGUGUGAUGAAAAUAGACCCAUCAGUGACCCACAACCUGCAGCAACACUCCUCCUCGUGCUUAAACCCGAGCAGUGUCUUGGCAUUCACCGUCACUACAUCUCAAAUUAUUGCUUUUUAUUUUAAUAAAAAGAAAAUCAUGGAAAACCCAAUAGAAACCUGAAGUAUUCUGGAAAGCUAGCAAAGUACAGAAAAGCUAAAGUAAUAUUGUAAUAUUUUAUUAAAGCAGAGUGAGGAAAAACAAGAUAUUUAAUGUGGAUGUUACUGCAGGU